GUAGUCAUAUGCUUGUCUCAAAGAUUAAGCCAUGCAUGUCUAAGUAUAAGCAAUCUAUACGGUGAAACUGCGAAUGGCUCAUUAAAUCAGUUAUCGUUUAUUUGAUAGUACCUUACUACUUGGAUAACCGUGGUAAUUCUAGAGCUAAUACAUGCUAAAAACCUCGACUUCGGAAGGGGUGUAUUUAUUAGAUAAAAAACCAAUGCCCUUCGGGGCUCCUUGGUGAUUCAUAAUAACUUAACGAAUCGCAUGGCCUUGUGCCGGCGAUGGUUCAUUCAAAUUUCUGCCCUAUCAACUUUCGAUGGUAGGAUAGUGGCCUACCAUGGUUUCAACGGGUAACGGGGAAUUAGGGUUCUAUUCCGGAGAGGGAGCCUGAGAAACGGCUGCCACAUCCAAGGAAGGCAGCAGGCGCGCAAAUUACCCAAUCCCGACACGGGGAGGUAGUGACAAUAAAUACUGAUACAGGGCUCUUUUGGGUCUUGUAAUUGGAAUGAGUACAAUUUAAAUCCCUUAACGAGGAACAAUUGGAGGGCAAGUCUGGUGCCAGCAGCC
rnacentral:rRNA from 1 species